AACGAACGCUGGCGGCAUGCCUAACACAUGCAAGUCGAACGAGACCUUCGGGUCUAGUGGCGCACGGGUGCGUAACGCGUGGGAACCUGCCCUUAGGUUCGGAAUAACUCCCCGAAAGGGGUGUUAAUACCGGAUAAUGUCUUCGGACCAAAGAUUUAUCGCCUUUGGAUGGGCCCGCGUUGGAUUAGCUAGUUGGUAGGGUAAAAGCCUACCAAGGCGACGAUCCAUAGCUGGUCUGGGAGGAUGAUCAGCCACACUGGGACUGAGACACGGCCCAGACUCCUACGGGAGGCAGCAGUGGGGAAUAUUGGACGAUGGGCGAAAGCCUGAUCCAGCAAUGCCGCGUGAGUGAUGAAGGCCUUAGGGUUGUAAAGCUCUUUUACCCGGGAUGAUAAUGACAGUACCGGGAGAAUAAGCUCCGGCUAACUCCGUG
rnacentral:rRNA from 1 species